UAUAAAUUAAUGCAAUCUAACUAGUUGGCACCAUACCUUUGUGUGAGACUUCUUGAUGACGUAUUUUCAGGAUUUUUUGUUAAGAUUGACAGUUCAGGAAUUAGCCUUUGAGCAAUUGUACAUUUUGCAUAGGUUGGACUAGAGAAUGACAGAAUGUUCUGACACAGAAUUGACUCAGACAACAACAGUUUUAACAACUAUUUUCAAAUUUAUUCCAUGAGAGAGAAUUCUUUAUAGCCAUUAUACAAAAGAAAUAUAAAUCACCUGAGGAGGAUAAAUACCUUAUGUUGAAAUACAACUGAAGUCUAACAUUAUACGAGGACCAGCAAUCACUGAUAUACAACUUUUUCUUGGCCCGGAAUCAGUUCCUUUCCUUUUUCUUUUGUGAAUAUGACAAAUGUCCACAGAUGGGGAAAACAUGGACAGUUUGUCUAUUUCAUGUUUAUAAUCCAGGUCCGCACUGAUAUUGCUUGCAUUCACUUUACCCAGUCCAUUGUUGAAUUGGGGAUUGACUCUAUUCCUUUUCUUUUGAAGCAAUCUCACUCAAGAACAACUUUUAUGGUUAAGACUCAACUGCUUUGUAAAAAUAAAUUUUUUCUCCAGAUCAAACAUCCAACCUUAACUGAU
rnacentral:lncRNA from 1 species